rnacentral:rRNA from 1 species
GAAGAAAAGGUUCUGGCUAAUACCCGGAACUGCUGACGGUACCUGCAGAAUAAGCACCGGCUAACUACGUGCCAGCAGCCGCGGUAAUACGUAGGGUGCAAGCGUUAAUCGGAAUUACUGGGCGUAAAGCGUGCGCAGGCGGUUUGGCAAGAAGGAUGUGAAAUCCCGGGGCUUAACCUCGGAACUGCAUUCUUAACUGCCAGGCUGGAGUAUGUCAGAGGGGGGUAGAAUUCCACGUGUAGCAGUGAAAUGCGUAGAGAUGUGGAGGAAUACCGAUGGCGAAGGCAGCCCCCUGGGAUAAUACUGACGCUCAUGCACGAAAGCGUGGGGAGCAAACAGGAUUAGAUACCCUGGUAGUCCACGCCCUAAACGAUGUCAACUAGCUGUUGGGGCCUUCGGGCCUUAGUAGCGCAGCUAACGCGUGAAGUUGACCGCCUGGGGAGUACGGUCGCAAGAUUAAAACUCAAAGGAAUUGACGGGGACCCGCACAAGCGGUGGAUGAUGUGGAUUAAUUCGAUGCAACGCGAAAAACCUUACCUACCCUUGACAUGUCUGGAAUCCCGAAGAGAUUUGGGAGUGCUCGCAAGAGAACCGGAACACAGGUGCUGCAUGGCUGUCGU